rnacentral:rRNA from 1 species
UGGGGGAUAUUGCACAAUGGGCGAAAGCCUGAUGCAGCAACGCCGCGUGAGGGAAGACGGUUUUCGGAUUGUAAACCUCUGUCUUCGGUGAAGAAACAAAUGCCGGUAACCGAGGAGGAAGCCACGGCUAACUACGUGCCAGCAGCCGCGGUAAUACGUGGGUGGCAAGCGUUGUCCGGAAUUACUGGGUGUAAAGGGAGCGCAGGCGGGGAGACAAGUCAGCUGUGAAAACUAUGGGCUUAACCCAUAAACUGCAGUGGAAACUGUUUGUCUUGAGUGGAGUAGAGGUAGGCGGAAUUCCGAGUGUAGCGGUGAAAUGCGUAGAUAUUCGGAGGAACACCAGUGGCGAAGGCGGCCUACUGGGCUCUAACUGACGCUGAGGCUCGAAAGUGUGGGGAGCAAACA